CAACCGGUUCACAGAGAUUUUGCUUUUCACCAUUUUCAAGGUUCAUUACCCUGACCUGAACUCCCAGUUUUGCCCUGGUAGAAAGUGGAUUACUUCAUUAGCAAUCCAGAAGUGCCAGAGGACUUCAGCAUCGUGGUACUAAGUUAUCACAGCACGCCAGGAGGGUAACUGAGACUGAGAUUCCAGUUGACUAGCACAGCUCUCAGCCUUCGCAUGCUGCAGAGUUUCAUCAACCGCCAGUGUCUACACUGUUCGCCGUAACCAAGUAAUGCAGAAAUAUUAGAGGCCUGGUUGAGUUCAUAUUCGAUGCCUGGUUUAAAUCACCGAUGUUGUAAGAUCUGGCCAUGGACUAAAAUAAAAUUCCAAAUGUUU